CGCAGGAUGGAGCAGUCUGGUAGCUCGUCGGGCUCAUAACCCGAAGGUCGUUGGUUCAAAUCCAGCUCCCGCAA
rnacentral:tRNA from 1 species